UUCAGUGGCUUCUACAUCUGGCUAGAUACCAGACCAUGGGGAGAAUUAAAAAAUGCAGAGACAGAAGCUAAGCAGGGUUGGGCCUGGUUAGUACUUGGAUGGGAAACCACUUAGGAAGACCAAGUGCUGCAGGCG
rnacentral:rRNA from 1 species